CCGGCAGCCUUUGCCCCUCUCCUCCGCUUCCCUCCCAGAUCAAAUGGAUCCCCCACCAAUCCAUCUCUCUCUCCCGCGACCCCUCUCUCUCUCCCUGGACACAUCUCCGCCGCCACAGAUGCCGGCCGAUCCCGGCAUUCUCCGGCGACUUUCGACACCACGCAGCACCGGCCCGGGCUCGCCUCGCUCCGCUGGGUCUUUUCCGCCAGCGGGAUUCGCCGCUCCCGGCCACCAGCGAUGACGUUAAGCCCUCACCAUGUCUAGGGUUUCGGGCGCCUCCACACUGGCGUGGCUCCGGCGCCUCCGGCGGAUCCUCUCCGACGCCCAUCGCGCCCCCACAGGCAUCUCCGUGUCCAGGAUGCUGCUCCUGUGCCCGCUGGCCAUGGGAUGUGCAGAGCAAGGAUUGGAUGCUUGAGGAAGGAGGGGUCGACCUUGCCUUGCUGCAGCUUGGGAUGCACCACCCAUGGAGCUUCCUCCUUUCUAUCUUCAGCUGAGUUCGCCCCCUCCUCGGCUCUUGUUCGUGGCCAUCAGAAAAUGUGUUGUAUACUGACAUAUUUCAAACUGAAAACAAUGAGUGCCAAUACAAGAUGUAUAGUAACCCCUUGUGAACUCGAUUCGUAUUGGGUAGUGAAUCGUCGUGAACCAAGGAAUUGCAGGUACAACAAUGCUUGGCAUUCAGGACGCAACGAAGCAGGAAAAAUCAAAGGUGGAUCUUGCCCAGCUGAUAAACAAGAAGGACACCGACCUAAGGGUGAUUACAGUGGGCGGAAAAGGUGCUGAUCUUGGGCAUACAUCGAUCAUCCGGGCAGUUUACGAGGAUCCAGAGAUCAAAAACAAUUUUCCGUGCCGAGCAUGGGUGAGGUUGAUGCAUCCUUUCAGUCCAGAAGACUUCAUUCAAAGUUUAGUAGAGCAGCCUCACGCAUCCGAAGGAGUUGACAUUCUGCUGGAAACAAAAAAGAUGGGGCAAGAGAUAGCUGAGGAAUUCAAUGGAUAUUUCAAUGCUAAGAAGUUCCUGAUUGUGCUUAAUGACUUAUCAACCAUUGAAGAGUGGAAUCGGGUUAAGAGGUGCUUCCCAAACAAUAAGAAAGGGAGCCUGAUAAUAGUGUCUACAAGGCAAGUUGAAGUUGCAAGCUUAUGUGCAGGACAAGAAAGCAUAGUAUUUGAGCUCAAGCAGUCGUCUGUUGAUCAGAAUAUUAAUGCUUUCUAUGAGAAGGUAACAUUCAAAGUUCUACUGCUUUCCUCUUCUGAAUUAUACAGCAAGACUCGGUUAUAGUGUGGCCUUCGAAUCAGAACUACAAUAUUGACUUUGUAGCUGCAUGGUGGGAAUCAGUUUUUGUUAUCACUGAUCCUUCCAAACUGAAGCUUAGAGAGAUCAAAAUGUUACAUGCUGAACGGCCAGGAGUGAACUACUCAAGUCGUCCGACAGUGUCCCACGCCGACCUCCGGUGGAUCUCCUCCCGGAUCAGACCUAACCCCCGCACUACUUGGGGUCCUCCCCCAUGCCAUUGCAGCCCUCAGCUACGACGCCCAUUGCCUUCUCGAGAUCAACAACCACCUGCAAGAAAACUGUUCGAUCAAUCGACCCAACAAACAGGAGCCUAGAGAAUGGGGAGAAAGAGGAGGAGAUGUGGUUGUCGGCACGGUGUUGAACCACCGACGCGGCGGAAAAAUGAGCAUGUGUUGUGCAAGAGGAGAUCCACACUGCCAGCAUGUGUCUCUUCAACCAGUAUGAUCGCGUCCUCGUGUGCCUUCGCCCGGCUGAUCCGGUCUUGCGCAUCUGGUGUACCCAAGGCCGUCCACAUGCGUUUUGAACAUUCAUUAGGUGUUUAUCGUCUAGCUGAGGAGGCUAUGAACAAUCUGAAAAAACUAGGUUUGUACCAUGAAGCACAUGCUCUAGAAAUGCUAUACAUGUUCUCCCCUAUGUUCUUUUGGUAAUCCACUUCACAACUGACUAAAUUGCACCACUGCCUGACCUGUGCUAUGUAUGAAUUUGAGGAUUUACUUGAGAAAACUUCUACUGAAGUUAAUGAUUCCCUGUCAAAUCCGCGCAUAUGUAACUGCAGCAAGAACUGCUUGUGAUGUGCAAGCUAGGAUCAGCUUGAACGUCUUAUUGAAUGCCUUCAUGGAGACAACGGUGAUACGUUCCAAGAUUGUAUUACCUUGGCCCGACUUAAGUUUGAAGAUUAUUUCUCCAACCAUGUGGACCAGCUGAAUUUUACUCUCCCUGAAGAUUCAGUGACCAGCUCUGGUGCUCCCUUUGAUCUGGUCUGCAGCAAGUACACUGCCUGAUCUUAGUUGUUGCCAGCAUCGUGGUUUGGAAAAAAGUGGUGUACGAAUGGCUUCUGAGGAUAGUUUGCACCAAGUACUUAAGGUUGUUAUGAUGCAUUCUGGAUGACUUCACUACUAAGUCCGAGAUCUGGGAACGAAACAAAUUUCAGGGCAACUAACAUGAUCAACCAGCAUCAAUGAAACUGACAUACAAUUUAUCGCCACUUGGAUUUGCAUACUAGCGACAGACAUGAUUUGUAAGGAGGAAACUAGAUGAGGACAGUUCUGGUCUGAUGCUUCAAUAGGAGAUGCCUAGGUAAUUAUGACUGGAUGUGUUUACAAGAUAUGCUUUUAAGUGCAUGAGGUUGCAACCUAUAAUGGUACACUGUAGACCUUCAUUUAUUGAAAUAGACGAGUGAAAUUUUUAUGAUUCAAAUAUUUAAUUUAGCUGUCUUUCCCAUGUGAUUUACCAAAUGUAAAUAUUAAUUGAUUUUGUUAGGAA